rnacentral:lncRNA from 1 species
AUGUUUCAUUCACACAGGGCAGCAUCUACACACAGGGAUGGACCUGAGAAUGGCUCCACCUUCACAUACAGGUACACACACAAUACAUCCCUCUCCACGACACCACAGGACAGAACACAACGCCCAACACACUCCAUCCCACUCAAUCACCCACCAGACCCAGACACUAGACACACUAGCAAACAAUAUUUCAAACUGAUACAAGCAAUACAUCACAAAGAAAUCAUGGACAUUGCACUUACUACUGACACACUCCCGUUAGGUAUGAAAAGACAAGUACAUAGACUCACAGACUUCAUUAAACCUUCCACUCCAACAAUAGACACACGCAAUAAGAUCCAGGAAAACACUAAUCAGUGGAUGAAAAACACAAUGUCUGUACUCCACCAACAUUACGCAAACACAAUCAGGUCCAUAUCUAUAUCACCUUUCAACACAAUAGCAGCCCAAAUAGCCACCGGUUGGGCCCAUAAGCGCUAUGGCCCAAGACUCACGGCCACUUCAUUACAAACAUUCCAUACACUUUGCCAGGACAGCCAAGAAGCAACCGCCAUCACCAUUUCUCCACAACCCCAAGCUACAACCAACAACUCACCAACCCAUGCCUUAGCCACCAUCCCGGAAGUGGUUGAAGAAAACCUUUCACCACGACCAACUCCUUCACAUCACCCUCCACACACUGUUGAAAUAGCAACGUCAUCCACCCACACAGUCAGUAAAGGCCCCAGUAAAACACCGGCCUUCUUCCCACUAUUCACCCCGCAACCUACAUCACGUCCUAAGAUCCCUACCGGCACACCGACACCACUUUCAGAACUCUCCCAUAACAAUUCUCCAGACCCAUCCACCCUAAACCUUACGGCCAAGCGGGUCACCUGGGGGCCUCCUCCACCCAAGGAAGACCCAGUUCCUGCCAUUGUACCCGUCCCCUCUACAAGUUCCUUCACUACUGAACAACCUGGUAAAAUUACUUCCACCACACCCAAGUUACCCAUAAUAGCUACAGAUACCCACCACCCCAUCACCCAGCCGACCACACAGGAUCACAAUUUAAUCACACACAGUUUUCACUCCAAUGUCUCUGUCUCUCUCCCAGACAAGAUCCUCCCCUCUUCCCCACAGCUACCUUCCACUGGUACCCAGGUGGAUCUGAUUGAGCUAGGGAUCCCAUCACAAUACAGGCCGAAGCAGGCCAAAAUGAUGACCAGGGUGCCAAAAGUCGAUGCUGACUGCCAGACCACCCUAUCUGAGCCUCCUACCUCCCCACAAACAUCGGGAGAGUCUGCAUUGUUGGCUCAUCAGCCCCAGAGCACCAGCACAUCCACUGACCCAAACCUAACUCACCCUUCUUCCCCUCCGUCCCCCUCAUCCCCUCCAGUUACUUCUCCAGAGCCAAGUGACAGUUGGCCAUCUGUAUUUCCUAGCCCGUCUCAACCCUCAACACUUCCCACCUUUAGGCCAAAUUACCAUUUAGCUAGACCCAACCACAAAAUCCAGGACUGGGUCUUCAAAAGCAAUCAAAGUUUCCUCAUCCUGGGUGACUCCAACGUUGACCACUUCCCCGAACACACCAAUCCAGACAUACAAAUAGACAGUUACCCCGGAGCAAAUGCCUACCAUUUCCUCAAAGUCUGUGAAAAUUCCCCCCCCAACCCGAAUACCGAGAUCGUAAUCUUUGCCAUAGGCAUUAACAAUAGAGACCAGGACCCAAGCAAAACCACAAUCAAGCAACUAAGGAGAUUAUUCCGUGCUGCCAAGCGGACCUUUCCCAAUGCAGCAGCCUACUUUCCCAUCCUCAACUACUCAUCCCAGUUAACACAGACACAACAGGACAAUUUGGAACUUAUCAACGAAACCAUGACGACACAUUACCAAACACUGUCGGAAAUCCCAAACCACCUCUUCAUUACAGAAAAAGACAACAUCACUUGGACCCCCUAUACAGCAAGACUCAUAUUUGCUAGCUGGCGCGGACAACUUCUUCCUGAAACCCCCGUAAUUUAA